UACGUAGGUCCCGAGCGUUGUCCGGAUUUAUUGGGCGUAAAGCGAGCGCAGGUGGUUUAUUAAGUCUGGUGUAAAAGGCAGUGGCUCAACCAUUGUAUGCAUUGGAAACUGGUAGACUUGAGUGCAGGAGAGGAGAGUGGAAUUCCAUGUGUAGCGGUGAAAUGCGUAGAUAUAUGGAGGAGCACCGGUGGCGAAAGCGGCCUGCUGGACUGCAACUGACGUUGAGGCCCGAAAGCGUGGGGAGCAAACAGG
rnacentral:rRNA from 1 species